rnacentral:rRNA from 1 species
AUACCGCAUACGCCCUACGGGGGAAAGCGGGGGACCUUCGGGCCUCGUGCUAUUAGAUGAGCCUGCGUUGGAUUAGCUAGUUGGUGGGGUAAAGGCCUACCAAGGCGACGAUCCAUAGCUGGUCUGAGAGGAUGAUCAGCCACACCGGGACUGAGACACGGCCCGGACUCCUACGGGAGGCAGCAGUGGGGAAUAUUGCGCAAUGGGCGAAAGCCUGACGCAGCCAUGCCGCGUGUGUGAAGAAGGCCUUCGGGUUGUAAAGCACUUUCAAUUGGGAGGAAAGGUUUACGGUUAAUAACCGUGAGCUGUGACGUUACCUUUAGAAGAAGCACCGGCUAACUCCGUGCCAGCAGCCGCGGUAAUACGGAGGGUGCAAGCGUUAAUCGGAAUUACUGGGCGUAAAGCGCGCGUAUGUGGUCUGUUUAGUCGGAUGUGAAAGCCCCGGGCUCAACCUGGGAACUGCAUUCGAUACUGGCAGACUAGAGUGCGAGAGAGGGAGGUAGAAUUCCACGUGUAGCGGUGAAAUGCGUAGAUAUGUGGAGGAAUACCAGUGGCGAAGGCGGCCUCCUGGCUCGACACUGACACUGAGGUGCGAAAGCGUGGGGAGCAGACAGGAUUAGAUACCCUGGUAGUCCACGCCGUAAACGAUGUCUACUAGCUGUAGGGGUACUUGAGACCUUUGUAGCGCAGCUAACGC